CCUACGGGAGGCAGCAGUAAGGAAUAUUGGUCAAUGGAGGCAACUCUGAACCAGCCAUGCCACGUGCAGGAAGACAGCCCUAUGGGUCGUAAACUGCUUUUAUACGGGAAUAAACUUUGAUUCGUGAAUCAAGCUGAAUGUACCGUAAGAAUAAGGAUCGGCUAACUCCGUGCCAGCAGCCGCGGUAAUACGGAGGAUCCAAGCGUUAUCCGGAUUUAUUGGGUUUAAAGGGAGCGUAGGCGGCCUAUUAAGUCAGGGGUGAAAGACGGUGGCUCAACCAUCGCAGUGCCUUUGAUACUGAUGGGCUUGAAUAUAGUUGAGGUAGGCGGAAUGUGACAAGUAGCGGUGAAAUGCAUAGAUAUGUCACAGAACACCGAUUGCGAAGGCAGCUUACUAAGCUAUGAUUGACGCUGAGGCUCGAAAGCGUGGGGAUCAAACAGGAUUAGAUACCCUGGUAGUCCACGCCUAAACCGAAUNAUACUACAUGUGUG
rnacentral:rRNA from 1 species